AGGGGCAGCGGUGGUGAAGGCUUGCCUUCACCAGCCGGCGACCGGCGCACGGGUGAGUGACACGUAUGCAACCUGCCUGCCACAGCCGGAUAAUCGGGAGAAAUCCCGUCUAAUACGGCAUAAUGCAUCGACGGGACAUCCUGUUGGUGCCAAAGGUUAAUUCCGGUGGCGGAUGGGCAUGCGUCGCAUUAGUUAGUUGGCGGUGUAACGGACCACCAAGACGACGAUGCGUAGGGGUUCUGAGAGGAAGGUCCCCCACACUGGUACUGAGACACGGACCAGACUCCUACGGGAGGCAGCAGUGAGGAAUAUUGGUCAAUGGGCGGGAGCCUGAACCAGCCAAGUCGCGUGAGGGAUGACGGCCCUAUGGGUUGUAAACCUCUUUUGCCGGGGAGCAAAGUGCCGCACGUGUGCGGUUUGGAGAGUACCCGGAGAAAAAGCAUCGGCUAACUCCGUGCCAGCAGCCGCGGUAAUACGGAGGAUGCGAGCGUUAUCCGGAUUUAUUGGGUUUAAAGGGUGCGUAGGCGGACGCUUAAGUCAGCGGUAAAAUUGCGGGGCUCAACCUCGUCGAGCCGUUGAAACUGGGUGUCUUGAGUGGGCGAGAAGUACGCGGAAUGCAUGGUGUAGCGGUGAAAUGCAUAGAUAUCACGCAGAACUCCGAUUGCGAAGGCAGCGUACCGGCGCCCAACUGACGCUGAAGCACGAAGGCGUGGGUAUCGAACAGGAUUAGAUACCCUGGUAGUCCACGCAGUAAACGAUGAAUGCUAGUUGUCCGGGGC
rnacentral:rRNA from 1 species